AAGUAGGUAGUUUAAUUGUGUAGAAUUCUGUUUUUGUAAUACAGGGGUAUUUUUUCUUACUUA
rnacentral:tRNA from 1 species